rnacentral:rRNA from 1 species
CCCUUAGAUGUUCUGGGCCGCACGCGCGCUACACUGAUGCAUUCAACGAGUCCAACCUUGACCGAGAGGUCCGGGUAAUCUUUGAAACUGCAUCGUGAUGGGGCUAGAUUAUUGCAAUUAUUAAUCUUCAACGAGGAAUGCCUAGUAAGCGUGAUUCAUCAAAUCGCGUUGAUUACGUCCCUGCUCUUUGUACACACCGCCCGUCGCUCCUACCGAUUGAGUGUGUUGGUGAGGAGUUUGGAUUGGCCUCGGAAGGUGGUUCGCCACCGUCCGUAGCUGAGAAGUUCUCCAAACCGCCCCACUUAGAGGAAGGAGAANUCGUANCA